rnacentral:rRNA from 1 species
GACGGAGGAUGCAAGCGUUAUCCGGAAUGAUUGGGCGUAAAGCGUCCGCAGGUGGCAGUUCAAGUCUGCUGUCAAAGACCGGGGCUUAACUUCGGAAAGGCAGUGGAAACUGAACAGCUAGAGUAUGGUAGGGGCAGAGGGAAUUCCUGGUGUAGCGGUGAAAUGCGUAGAGAUCAGGAAGAACACCGGUGGCGAAAGCGGCUCUCUGGGACGGUACUGACGCUGAGACGCGAAAGCGUGGGGAGCAAACAGG